GACAGAGGGUGCAAACGUUGUUCGGAUUUACUGGGCGUAAAGCGCGUGUAGGCGGCUUUGCAAGUCGGAUGUGAAAUCCCACGGCUCAACCGUGGAACUGCUGGGCAUACUGGAAGUCUUGGGCUAUCUAGGGGCAACCGGAACAAGCGGUGGAGCGGUGAAAUGCGUAGAUAUCAAGAGGAACACCUGAGGUGAAGACGGGUUGCUGGGCUGAUACUGACGCUGAGGCGCGAAAGCUAGGGUAGCAAACGGG
rnacentral:rRNA from 1 species